UGAGCGACUCUCUCUUCGUCAUCUGUGCCC
rnacentral:piRNA from 1 species